GAUGAACGCUGGCGGCGUGCCUAAUACAUGCAAGUCGAGCGAAUGGAUUAAGAGCUUGCUCUUAUGAAGUUAGCGGCGGACGGGUGAGUAACACGUGGGUAACCUGCCCAUAAGACUGGGAUAACUCCGGGAAACCGGGGCUAAUACCGGAUAACAUUUUGAACCGCAUGGUUCGAAAUUGAAAGGCGGCUUCGGCUGUCACUUAUGGAUGGACCCGCGUCGCAUUAGCUAGUUGGUGAGGUAACGGCUCACCAAGGCAACGAUGCGUAGCCGACGUGAGAGGGUGGGCGGCCACACUGGGACGGAGACACGGCCCAGACUCCUACGGGAGGCAGCAGUAGGGAAUCUUCCGCAAUGGGCGAAAGUCUGACGGAGCAACGCCGCGUGAGUGAUGAAGGCUUUCGGGUCGUAAAACUCUGUUGUUAGGGAAGAACAAGUGCUAGUUGAAUAAGCUGGCACCUUGACGGUACCUAACCAGAAAGCCACGGCUAACUACGUGCCAGCAGCCGCGGUAA
rnacentral:rRNA from 1 species